rnacentral:rRNA from 1 species
CCCUUAGAUGUUCUGGGCGGCCCGCGCACUACAUUGGCACUAGCAAAGAGAUCCUAGAUUGAAUUCUUUGGGGUAUUCUUCUAAAUGGUGUCGUGACUGGGAUAAAUCCUUGUAAUUAUUGGUUUUGAACGAGGAAUUCCUUGUAAUCGCGGUUUAUCAGCUCGCGUUGAAUGCGUCCCUGCCCUUUGUACACACCGCCCGUCGCUCCUACCGAUGGAUCGUCCGGUGUAGCUCACGGAGUGACUGUUCACGCAACGGUUUACGAAGUGAAAUGGACCUCACGAUUUAGAGGAAGGAGAAGUCGUAACA